CCUACGGGCGGCUGCAGUGGGGAAUAUUGGACAAUGGGCGAAAGCCUGAUCCAGCCAUGCCGCGUGUGUGAAGAAGGCCUUCGGGUUGUAAAGCACUUUCAGUGGGGAAGAAAGCCUUGGGGCUAAUACCCUCGAGGAAGGACAUCACCCACAGAAGAAGCACCGGCUAACUCCGUGCCAGCAGCCGCGGUAAUACGGAGGGUGCGAGCGUUAAUCGGAAUUACUGGGCGUAAAGCGCGCGUAGGCGGUCUGAUAAGCCGGUUGUGAAAGCCCCGGGCUCAACCUGGGAACGGCAUCCGGAACUGUCAGGCUAGAGUGAAGGAGAGGAAGGUAGAAUUCCCGGUGUAGCGGUGAAAUGCGUAGAGAUCGGGAGGAAUACCAGUGGCGAAGGCGGCCUUCUGGACUGACACUGACGCUGAGGUGCGAAAGCGUGGGUAGCAAACAGGAUUAGAUACCCGAGUAGUC
rnacentral:rRNA from 1 species